AUUGAACGCUGGCGGCAGGCCUAACACAUGCAAGUCGAACGGUAGCACAGAGAGCUUGCUCUCGGGUGACGAGUGGCGGACGGGUGAGUAACGUCUGGGAAACUGCCCGAUGGAGGGGGAUAGCUACUGGAAACGGUAGCUAAUACCGCAUAACGUCGCAAGACCAAAGUGGGGGACCUUCGGGCCUCUCACUAUCGGAUGAACCCAGAUGGGAUUAGCUAGUAGGCGGGGUAACGGCCCACCUAGGCGACGAUCCCUAGCUGGUCUGAGAGGAUGACCAGCCACACUGGAACUGAGACACGGUCCAGACUCCUACGGGAGGCAGCAGUGGGGAAUAUUGCACAAUGGGCGCAAGCCUGAUGCAGCCAUGCCGCGUGUAUGAAGAAGGCCUUCGGGUUGUAAAGUACUUUCAGCGGGGAGGAAGGCGAUAAGGUUAAUAACCUUGUCGAUUGACGUUACCCGCAGAAGAAGCACCGGCUAACUCCGUGCCAGCCGCCGCGGUAA
rnacentral:rRNA from 1 species